UACGAAGGGGGCUAGCGUUGUUCGGAAUUACUGGGCGUAAAGCGCACGUAGGCGGAUACUUAAGUCGGGGGUGAAAUCCUGGAGCUCAACUCCAGAACUGCCUUCGAUACUGGCGAUCUUGAGUCCGGAAGAGGUGAGUGGAACUCCUAGUGUAGAGGUGGAAUUCGUAGAUAUUAGGAAGAACACCAGUGGCGAAGGCGGCUCACUGGUCCGGUACUGACGCUGAGGUGCGAAAGCGUGGGGAGCAAACAGG
rnacentral:rRNA from 1 species